rnacentral:rRNA from 1 species
UACGGGGGGGGCAAGCGUUGUUCGGAAUUACUGGGCGUAAAGGGCUCGUAGGUGGCCAACUAAGUCGGACGUGAAAUCCCUCGGCUUAACCGGGGAACUGCUUCCGAUACUGGUUGGCUUGAGUUUGGGAGAGGGAUGCGGAAUUCCAGGUGUAGCGGUGAAAUGCGUAGAUAUCUGGAGGAAUACCGGUGGCGAAGGCGGCAUCCUGGACCGGAAUUGACACUGAGGAGCGAAAGCCAGGGGAGCAAACGAG